AGUACCUAUAAUGAUAAAUCAAGCAUAACCUGAAUAUAAACAUUCUGGGUUUUUUAAGUAUCAAUAUACUUAGUGUAUCUAAUUACUUAGGUAAUGGUAUUAUGAUUUCAUUUUAAUUUCAUCUCUUUACAGGAUUUCAUUGUGAGAUGCAUGUUUAUUUGCAAAUUAUUGGAAUUGAUUAUAAUAUACCUGUUACUGAUGGCACAAACAAUCCUAACAAAAUCUCCAAUGUACGGAACCUGGCUCGUUGGCAGGAUUUUCCCAAGUUGACAUCUGCCUGUCUCCAUGAGCCAUAAAGGAUGGCAUCUGUGCCUUGAUACCUAGUUCCUCCAAGUAAUCCAAGGAGUCUCUGAAACCACGGUCCACCACAAAUACAUCAUCCUCGCAAACCCAUCCCUGUGUUUUGGGCAGCAACGAGCUCCAGCAGGAAUUAUGACUUCUUUGGUGAUAAAGAUUCGAUGACGAAAUCCCACUGGAACCACAACUAGCUUUGGUCCUGGCCUUUUGCAGAUGCAACAUGCAGCAUGUCCUCUUGAUGUGCAAGGAAAAGGAAGAGUUACUGAUGGUGGACUGAACUGAGGUGUUAAAGUUGUAGAUGAUGUUGAUGGUGCGGAUUCACCUUGACAAUCUGUCGUGCUCGCCAUGCUAUGACCUUUGCGUUUUAUGUGACGUGCACACAUGCACCUACAUCUGUUGCAUAGGAAGUCAUCGUCACCUGGUGUUCUCCCAGAUAGUUUGGAGAUAACGACUCUGUAUUUUCUUGCAAUGCUGUAUCUGUCUUUCUGUCGUACCACGCGUGGACAAUUACAACAGUUGUAAGAUUUCUUACCAGGCAUCUGAAAUGUCAAAUAAAAUCUGUUUCAUUUUA